rnacentral:rRNA from 1 species
AACGAACGCUGGCGGCAUGCCUAACACAUGCAAGUCGAACGAGACCUUCGGGUCUAGUGGCGCACGGGUGCGUAACGCGUGGGAACCUGCCCUUAGGUUCGGAAUAACUCCCCGAAAGGGGUGCUAAUACCGGAUAAUGUCUUCGGACCAAAGAUUUAUCGCCUUUGGAUGGGCCCGCGUUGGAUUAGCUAGUUGGUAGGGUAAAAGCCUAACAAGGCGACGAUCAAUAGCUGGUCUGAGAGGAUGAUCAGCCACACUGGGACUGAGACACGGCCCAGACUCCUACGGGAGGCAGCAGUGGGGAAUAUUGGACAAUGGGCGAAAGCCUGAUCCAGCAAUGCCGCGUGAGUGAUGAAGGCCUUAGGGUUGUAAAGCUCUUUUACCCGGGAUGAUAAUGACAGUACCGGGAGAAUAAGCUCCGGCUAACUCCGUG